AGGAUAAAAGAGUGCAUAAGAAGUGACCGCUCUCCAAUCAACACAAAGGAAGUUAUAAUGGCAGACUUGGAAAAGCUGAAAAGUGUGCGAUCAAGAGCACAGGCUUCAUUCACAAAAAGAGCUCAUACUCUCACCAAACCGGGAUUUUUGGAACCGACUGAAGUUCUCAAAGAAUGGAAGCUGUUUAGGGUGGACUUUUCUAAAGUCAUAGAUGCGGGAUAUGAGUAUGCAGAAGCCUUGAGGGAGUCAACAGAUAAAGAGGUCAUAGAAUCUGCAACCCAAAUUGAUGUAAAGACGACGGAGUGUGAGAAAAGGUUCCUUGAGGUAAAGAAAGCCACCCAGGGAAUCUUUUGGACCAGCUAUGCAGAGGAGGCGUUCUUCAGGCAAGCUGAAACCGCUGAGUCAGCCAUCACUCAGGCAGAGGAAGAGGAAGUUAACUUUCGGAAGUCAAUCAAGGACCGUAGGCUAAGGAAUAGAGGUCUUGAAAGAGAGGUCAUUGAACUCGAAGAAAUGCUGGUAGAGUGGAAGGAGUUGGUUCCUGGUCCGAAGACAUUAGAUCUCAGGACACGCCAUAAGACACUAAAGAAGAGGGUCUUGGUGUUGUCUGAUAAACUGGAGGACGACGAAGCAGACAGAGUAAAGGGUAGAGAAAGAAACUUUGGAGAUGAUGGUAGCGCGGUUGGUGAUCUAAGACAAAAUGCUUCUUUCCUUUAUCUCCCUGACAUGUCUUCUGAACUCAAGUUUAAGCCCAAAAAAUACAUGGGGGCAUUGAACAUGAACACCCAACCCCUUUUUCAGCAAAGUAGCCCAGAAAGGACCAAAGGAAACUCUAAUCUCCAAUCUCAGAUUAGCCUUGAAAGAGCACGACUACCCACUUUCUUUGGUGAUAUGAGGGACUAUUAUCGCUGGAAGACUGAGUGGGAGGACCUAGAAGAAUUGGGUAACCCACAAGGUGUGGGAUGUAUAAAAAAGUUCCACUUAUUAAAUAGUCUCCAUGAAAAGGUCAAGAAGAAUCUCGUUCUAUCUAGCUGUGAAUCUGCCGACGAUAUGUUUAGGCUGCUGGACAGCAAAUACGGGAAUAAAGCGAAAAUAGUGCUAAUGAUCACCAGUGAGGUGCAGUCUCUUCCGCCCGUCAAAGGAAACAAUCCAAGAAGAUGUAUUGAACUGAUCCAGGCUGUGGAGAGGGCACUAUGCAACCUCCAGAUUCUUGGUGAAGAGGACGCUGUAAAGAACCGUGUUGUUGCUCAAUCCCUUGAAAGCAAGCUUCCUAGUUCACUCAAGAAGGAGUGGAUUAUCCAUAAAACUGACCCGGCAAACAGGUUCUCUCCACAGUAUCAUUUUGAUUGCCUCUUAGGAUUCUUGAAAAAGCAGGAGGAGAUUCUGGAAGAGUUGGAUCAGUUGGAACCAAGCCCUACAGAUAAAGGCCCUUGGGAAAAGGGUGCUGUAGACUACUCAGAUAAAAGAGGGAGGAUGGCUUUCACAAAAUCCACAGCAGGUCAGAAGGAUGACUAUCCCAGCUGUACUGUCUGUGGAGAUGACUCCCAUGCCGGUAAGCUAUUUGCCUGCAAGGUCUUCAGAGAGCAAGAUCUCUUAAGAAAAAGGACCCAUUUGAAGAAGCUAGGGUUGUGCUCCAAGUGCUUGCGGCUCCACCCCAAGGAUGGAAAAGGAUGCACACCCAGAUAUCUCUGCCCAAAAGUAGACUGUCGGAAAGGAGAGGUGUCGGACCACAAUUACCUUCUGUGCCCUAGGCCACCGACUCCAAAGAAGGACAGCAGCAGUGAGGAGCAGAGUAUCGUAAAAUUUGGAGGGAAGAAACUUGGCCUAACCAACAAACAAGAGGAGUUUUUGGCAGAGCUUACUCCAGAACAAAGAGAGAAAUACAAGAAUGCGUUCUCAAAUAAGAUAUCAUCAACUGUAUGUGCCAAGGCUGGAGAUGGACUGCAAGAACAUCCAGUGGUGAUGAUGCUGAUGGAAGUAACGACAAACUCGGGUUGCCUUGUUGGCUCCCUAAUCGACCUCGCAUCUGACACCAAUUAUAUCACAAAUGAAACGGCUGAUCGCCUUGGACUGUUUGGUGAGAACAUCAGACUUAUAGUCCAUGGAGUUGGGGGGAUGAAAAAGACUGUUUUGACCAAAAGAUAUUUCCUGCGGCUGAAGGUGAAGACAUCUAAGGGAAAAGUAGCAGAGCAUAGAAUUCUCUGCUAUGGCCUGGAAAACAUCGCAGAGGUGACUCAAUCAGUCUCUGCCGAGCAAUUACAGAAGUUCUUCCCCGAUGUACCCAGAGACGAAUUGGUCUGUCCCACAAAGAUUGACCUCCUUAUCAGUCACCGGGAAGGUCGUCUUGUUCCCCAGCCAAUUAAGAUUGUGGAAGACCUCGUUCUCUGGGACGGUCCGCUGGGAAAGACUGUUGGGGGAACCCAUCCCAAUCUUAUUGAGACAGUCGACCUGGCCGUGUACCGCUCUGAAACUCACCUAGCAAGGACCAUGAGAUCGGCCUCGAUGGCGUAUAAAGAGACCAUCAUACCUCGAGAAGAAGAGAGACAUGAGUUUGUCCGGAGCACUGCAGCCACCAACAAAGAGGUCUUCGAGUGGUUCAGGUGGGACAGCAUUGGAGCAGCGUGUAGUCCUCAAUGUGGUGGCUGCAAGUGUGGUAAGUGCCCCCCUGGUGGAAAAGAAAUGACCCUCAAGGAGGAGCGGGAUCUAGAAAAGAUAAAAGAGUGCUUAACAUACGUGCUGGCGGACAAACACAGCAACUCUUCCCACUGGGACGCAGCUUAUCCCUGGAAGACAGACCUCACAACACUGCCAGAUAAUCAGCAGGCAGUGGAGGCAACCUUCAAAAAUAUGGAGAAACGUUUGGAGAAGGAACCUGUGUGGAAGGCUGCAUACAAAGAACAAAUACACGAAAUGGUUUCCAGAAGGGCUGCAGCAAAACUAACAAGGGAGGAAAUUAACAACUGGGAAGGACCUAAAUGGUACAUUAGCCAUCUGGUUGCACCAAACCCUCACUCCUCCUCAACUCCUGUGAGAAUUGUGUGGAAUAGUAGCCAAGAGUUCCGAGGCAUAAGUCUAAAUGAUCUCCUUCAUAAGGGUCCUGAUGUGCUCAAUCCCAUCAGAGGUGUCCUUUUGAGGUUCAGAAGUGGACUCCAUGCUGCACUGGGUGAUGUAAAGAAGAUGUACAACUCAGUGUGGCUGAAAGAUGAUGAAGUUCACCUCCACCGCUUUCUAUGGAGGGACAACCCUGAGGACAACAUUGAGGAGUUUGCAGUCGUCAGAGUCAAUAUCGGUGAUAAACCCGCAGGAUGUAUCGCCCAAGUUGCAAUGAAGGAAACAGCCAAUCUUCCUCAGUUUGUUGAUAUGAUUGAAGAACGACGAGUUCUAAUUGAGGAUAGCUAUGUGGAUGAUAUCCUGACCUCACACGAUGACCUCAAGACUUUGGAAAGGAUCAUCAAAGGGGUGGAGGAGAUUUUGAAAACGGGAGGCUUCUUCCUCAAACCGUGGGUUCUGUCACACCAAAUUGGGAGAAGUGGAGCCCCUGCUGAAGCAACUCUACCCAGGACCCUGGUACUGCCCAAUCAAAUGCAUGAUGGGGAGAACAAAGCGCUUGGGGUCGGCUACAAACCUGAGACAGACAAGCUUCGGUUGCUGACUUCUAUCAACUUCUCUAAGAAAAGAGGGAAAAUGAGGACAGGAGUUAAUCUGUGCAUGGAGGAUAUCAGGAAAG
ensembl:lncRNA